UACGAAGGGGGCUAGCGUUGCUCGGAUUGACUGGGCGUAAAGGGCGCGUAGGCGGUUCGUACAGUCAGACGUGAAAUUCCUGGGCUCAACCUGGGGGCUGCGUUUGAUACGUGCGGACUUGAGUGCGGAAGAGGGUCGUGGAAUUCCCAGUGUAGAGGUGAAAUUCGUAGAUAUUGGGAAGAACACCGGUGGCGAAGGCGGCGACCUGGUCCAUUACUGACGCUGAGGUGCGAAAGCGUGGGGAGCAAACAGG
rnacentral:rRNA from 1 species